CUCACAAACCUAAUCUACUUUAACCUGUAUGCCUGCCUACUUCACUAGGACUCAACUUCAUUAAGCAAGGAUUAUGAAGCCUAGGACCUGAAGCUGACAAUGAAGAAAACUGCCCAAAGUCUGGUGACCUGGAGACGACAACUGUGACUGAAAUAAGAUGAAGGGCUCAGAAAAAAAAGCAGUACACGGGAAGUACCCGUUGGUGUGGCUAACGGGAUUGUGUGAAGUUUGGAAGGUGGAGGAAAGUGGCAGUCACUGAGCGGACCACAGGUCUUGUCCCCGAGCUGCUGAUGCACCAUAAAGACACGAAGCAGCAACUGCAUCAAAGGGCUCCGGCUUCCGUGACAUGAUGAAACCGAGGAGAGGUCAAGAGACUUCCACAAGACCUCUCUGAAUCUUCUGCUGCUGAUGUGUGUUUCUGGAGAUUUGCAACACUGGCCGAACCCUGCCUCACGAAAACAUGCUCUAUUGGAAGGACUUCAGAGAAAGCUUUUUCCCUUUAUGCGCAAUUACAAGGCAUAAUUACAAGAGGAAGUUACAACAAGAGACUAAUGCAUUCCUCUGAAGACAUUUUUGAUCACACAGAUCUGAAUCAAACACAAGCACCAACAGACAUCAGGUGGUGAGAUUUGGGGCAGAUAACUUGGCUUCUCCAGGCUUGAGCUUCACCUUUUCUCAGUAUUUUCCAUAAUAGUACUCAACUCCUAAUACGGUAGUGAAGUUUUAAACAAUGUGUUUGAAAGGAGACUUAGAGAUUCCAGCACAUACCUUGCACUUAGUAAACGAUGAUAGUUAAUGUGUGUUAUUUUGCGGAGAAUGGUUUUUGCUGAGUGAAUCAGCGAAUAUCUUGGGUUGAAGGCAGUAACCAAACCACUGCUGGAGAUGAUCCUGCAUUCUGAGAGAUGAUGCAAACUGGCAACUCUGCAGUGCACUUUUCCCUUCUUUGUUAUUCUGACUUAGAACCAGACGUCCUGUCCCAGGGAUCUCUUCUGUCUGCCUCUGCCUGUGCAAGCCUGCAUUUGUUGUCCAGCUUCCUUUCUACCGUAUCUGUUACUCAGUGGAUUUUUUUCCAUCUCUUACAUCCAAGCUAUUAGUCCAUUCAAAAAUAGUCUUUGUCCAUCAGCUUU